GGGCGCAUGGCCUAAUGGUAAGGCGUCAGAUUUCGGUUCUACGACGACCUCUGAAGAUUGCAGGUUCGAUCCCUGCUGUGCUCG